rnacentral:rRNA from 1 species
UGCUUAGUGGCGGACGGGUGAGUAACGCGUGAGUAACCUGCCUUGGAGUGGGGAAUAACAGCCGGAAACGGCUGCUAAUACCGCAUGAUGUAUCUGGAUCGCAUGGUUCUGGAUACCAAAGAUUUAUCGCUCUGAGAUGGACUCGCGUCUGAUUAGCUAGUUGGUGAGGUAAUGGCUCACCAAGGCGACGAUCAGUAGCCGGACUGAGAGGUUGGCCGGCCACAUUGGGACUGAGACACGGCCCAGACUCC